GCCAGUGUGGUUUAGUGGUUAAGAGCGGUAGACUCGUAAUCUGGUGAAGUGGGUUCGCUUCCCCGCUCCUCCACAUGCA
rnacentral:tRNA from 1 species